GACGAACGCUGGCGGCGUGCUUAACACAUGCAAGUCGAACGGAAAGGCCCUGCUUUUGUGGGGUGCUCGAGUGGCGAACGGGUGAGUAACACGUGAGUAACCUGCCCCUGACAUUGGGAUAACUUCAGGAAACUGCGGCUAAUACCGGAUAGGAGCUCCUGCUGCAUGGUGGGGGUUGGAAAGAUUCGGCCGUUGGGGAUGGAUUCGCGGCUUAUGAGCUUGUUGGUGGGGUAGUGACUUACCAAGGCUUUGACGGGUAGCCGGCCUGAGAGGUGGACCGGGCACCAGGGGACUGAGAGAGGGAGCAGAAUGCUACGGGAGGCAGCAGUGGAGAAUCUUGCGGAAUGGGCGGAAGUCUGUUGCAGCGACGCUGCGUGCGGGAUGACGGCUUUCGGGUUGUGAACAGAUUUCGCCGGUGACGUAGCGAGCGUGACGGUACUGGGUAAAGAAGCAACGGCUAACUACGUG
rnacentral:rRNA from 1 species